CCACCCCAGGAUGGGCGAGGCCACCCGCCGAG
rnacentral:rRNA from 1 species